ACAAAAGGUCACUUUUAAUAUCAAACACAAAGACACUCAGUGGCUGAGAUGCUGUUGGUUUCUUCCCCCAGAAGCCGUGUCUAUACGUGGGCUGUCCGUAGCGUGUUUACCUCAUGGAGAGCUGAGGGUGUCCUGCUCCGCUGGGGGGGACAAUCCCCACUACAACUGGACACUGGGGGACCAGCCACUUGGAGAGGACAUUCCCCAUAUGAACUCUGGAGAUGGUGUUGUUUUGUUGGGAAAGGGUGAGAGUGGAGAAAUCACCUGUACAGCCUGGAAUAAUGUCAGCAGGGAAAGCAGAACCCAGAGUCUCCCCACCUGUUCAGUGAUCUUACCUGUUUCGGCAGCACUAGCAAUUAUCACCGUGCUUCUUGUCGUCACAGUGGGAGUUUACUUCUUGUACAAGAGGAAGAAAGAUCGAGCAUCAGUAGGGGAUAAAGCCUACAGCCAAGAUCUGGUGUAUGCAGACGUCAGGGUCAGCAGGAACGAGGGCAACGGCAGGACCCGGAUGGGGAAGAGGGCAGAACCAGAGGUGGUGUACGGAGAAGUUAAAGUGUGAAGUACUUCUGAACAGAAAUGAUACAAGGGAAAACACACAAUUGCUAAAAUUGGUCUUAUUUUUUUUCUGAAAACCUUCCUCUUUUCUCAAGCAAUUUUUGAAAUAAUACUCAGUUUCGACUCCCUCUGCUUCUUUUUUUAACUUUUUAAAAUGUAUUUUUCAUAUCUCACAUUCAUUAAAGGUGAAAUUUUGCUGAAAAUUGUAAUAAAAG
rnacentral:lncRNA from 1 species